AUUUCAUUAGGGUUUCUAAGUGCCUAUAUAUACCACCCUUACACCCUAGCCGCAUACAUCUUCCCCUCUCCACAAAAUCAGAAAAUCAUCUCUCCUUUUCCCCACCUUGCCGCAGCCACCAUCACCCAAAAUCCUUCCUUGCCGCAGCCAUUCAUCCAUUCCAGCAGCCAUUCAUCCAUUCCAGCAACUACCACCCUUUGCCGCACCACCAUACACCUCCCUUACCCUUUGCCGAACCACCAUAUCAUCCCAAAUCCAUCCCUAAACCGAAAUCACAUCCAACAGCCCCUAAACCCUCACUGCCGCAGCAAGGAGAAGAAGGAAGAGGAGCUUUCUGUGCAGAUUUCAAAGUGGACUUCUUUGGCAUUUUAGGUGUAAU
rnacentral:lncRNA from 1 species